rnacentral:lncRNA from 1 species
CUGAGAAAUACUGAUCCCAACUUCUGCCAGCUCCCAGACUCCCAGUCACAGCCCUUACAGGGGAGACCGGCCCAUUCGCAGGAUAGUAGAAGGACUUUAUUAUUAUUACAUUUCAGGACAUAUCACUGUCUCACUUGUAUCAAAGGGAUGCACAUCUUGAACCUGAUAUCCAUGGUGUAGAGUCUCAGCUUAAUGUACACAGCACUCAUGGUAAGUGACCUCUUUAGUCUCAAAUGAUUUGAACCGACCUGAUCAGAUGGGAUGUAUCACGUAUGAACUCUGCCGGCAGGAGUUUUUAAUACAUUAUAUUUGAUUGUUUUAGGUUACCAUCUCUCCGUUAGCCAUGGCUGUUCUCCUGCUGUCUUUGCCUCAAAGUGUUUCUUCAAAGAAAGUUUUCCACAAUGACUCAGAGACGGUGUAUCUGGGAUCCCAGUUUUUAGAGCCGGCUCUUCGUAGAGCGAUGGAACUCACUGACGCUGCUUACACCCGAACGAGCGAAAGAGUGAAGAUGUCUCUGUCUGAAGGGGCUCUACGGCCCAGCGACCUCCUGGCGCAGUUCAAACAGGCCGAGCCCAGCACCAGGGCUCACAUCCAGGCUGCAGAGCUCCUGGACAACACAGUAGAGCUGAUCAGAGAGAUGGUCUACACUCACACCAUGGUCAUGCCAGAC